rnacentral:rRNA from 1 species
UAGGGAAUCUUCGGCAAUGGGGGCAACCCUGACCGAGCAACGCCGCGUGAGUGAAGAAGGUUUUCGGAUCGUAAAGCUCUGUUGUAAGAGAAGAACGUGUGUGAGAGUGGAAAGUUCACACAGUGACGGUAACUUACCAGAAAGGGACGGCUAACUACGUGCCAGCAGCCGCGGUAAUACGUAGGUCCCGAGCGUUGUCCGGAUUUAUUGGGCGUAAAGCGAGCGCAGGCGGUUUAAUAAGUCUGAAGUUAAAGGCAGUGGCUUAACCAUUGUUCGCUUUGGAAGCUGAUAAACUUGAGUGCAGAAGGGGAGAGUGGAAUUCCAUGUGUAGCGGUGAAAUGCGUAGAUAUAUGGAGGAACACCGGUGGCGAAAGCGGCUCUCUGGUCUGUAACUGACGCUGAGGCUCGAAAGCGUGGGGAGCAAACAGG